rnacentral:rRNA from 1 species
AUGACCACCUACCAGAUCGCCCGUGCUCAACAGCAGGCGGGGGUGCUCCACCUCCAGAUGCACGCACACCCUGCAGGCAACAUGGCUCAUCCUGCAAACCAGGCUCCGCUCCAGGCGAAUCAGGGUCAGAAUCAGCAACCUGCGGCGCCGGAGGCAGUUCUGCUGAACCAGAUCUUCAGACCUGUCGCUGCUUCUGCUUCCGGUUCUCACGCGCUGGGGGCAGAAGCUUUCAUCCUUGCCGCUAGCAACAUCAUGCUCACGCUGCUUGUUCUGCUGUUCGUUGUGGCCAUCUAUUUUGGCGGCGGCAACUAG